UAACAGGAUCCUUUAGGAUCCACAAAGAACAUGUACAACUUUUCUU
rfam:Alligator mississippiensis ScZkoYb_128, whole genome shotgun sequence.